rnacentral:lncRNA from 1 species
UACCAUUUGAGUAGGGAUUAAUUUGCCUAUAAAUAUAGGGGUAAUGUACAAUUUUCAUAUCAUCAAUCAUUAUUCUAUUAAUACAAAACAAGUUAUUCCUACAUAUUUCUUAUUUCAGUUCUUAUUAUAAAAAUUUCGUAACGCAUCCGCACCACCUUCAUUUGACACAAUAAGUUGCACUAUCUGUUGGAAACUUCCUGUUGAAAACAAACUUUAAUAAAUAACUUUUUGCCCUCUCAAUAACUUAAUCUUUUGGAUACGGUGCUUCCCGUACAAGAGUAGUCAAAGAAGUUAAGUUUCAGUAUAACCUAUUUAUGAAAAUUGUGCACAUGGUCAAGCCUUCAAUGAGUAAUGAAUUUGGCCUUCAUGUGAGGGGGUGUGUCGAAGAAAAAGAUCUAAAUAAAUAAUUUUCUCUUCUAACAGAUUUAGUUUUUGUGGUUACUUCCGUUGAAGUCUUGAAUCUGGUGGUGCAAGGCAGGUUUUCAUUAAGCUAACCAAAACCAAAUCUGGACGGCAAAAAUAUUUUUAAGUUGAUAUAAAGGAUUGAACAUGGGCAUGCAUAGGAUGAGAGUAGUACUUGAGACACCGACAGGUAAGGCAAUCAAAGAAUCCUCACGGGUGAACUCGGUAGACCAAAUUACUUGAGUUACUUGAUUCAUAAGUUGUUCUCUACUUGAGUUUUGUAUGUAAAGGCUUUCUUUAUUACCUGAGGUGCCUAUCAUUUUAAGUAUAAUGUCGAGCUUUAUUUAUCAGGUAUGCAUUAUGCUCGUAUUAAGAAAUUAGACCCUUUUUUUUUUGAGUAUUAUGCUUAGAUUUUACCAACUUUUGACCUAUUCAUGCUAGCCCGUAUUUCUGAGCUUGUACCUUCUUGAUGCAGGAACGUGAAGUAAAAGCUAAGCAUCAACAACUUAUAAGUAGACCAAAUUACUUGAGUUACUUGAUUCAUAAGUUGUUCUCUACUUGAGUUUUGUAUGUAAAGGCUUUCUUUAUUACCUGGGGUGCCUAUCAUUUUAAGUAUAAUGUCGAGCUUUAUUUAUCAGGUAUGCAUUAUGCUCGUAUUAAGAAAUUAGACCCUUUUUUUUUGAGUAUUAUGCUUAGAUUUUACCAACUUUUGACCUAUUCAUGCUAGCCCGUAUUUCUGAGCUUGUACCUUCUUGAUGCAGG